UACGGAAGGGGCGGGCGUUAAUCGGGAUAACUGGGGGUAAAGCGCGGGUAGGUGGUUGAGUCAGUCAGAUGUGAAAGCCCCGGGCCUAACCUGGGGACUGCACCUGAUACUGCUUAACUAGAGUACGGUAGAGGGCAGUGGAAUUUCCUGUGUAGCGGUGAAAUGCGUAGAUAUAGGAAGGAACACCAGUGGCGAAGGCGACUGCCUGGACUGAUACUGACACUGAGGUGCGAAAGCGUGGGUAGCAAACAGG
rnacentral:misc_RNA from 1 species